CUGCCACCAGACCUAUGUCCUAAUCCCCCGUACCACCACCAACACCCAUUCGGCGCUCGCCUUCCCUCUGUCACCACUGCCAACAGCCAGGGAACUAUAAGAUGCACUGCCCUCAAUGGAACUGAGGGAGCUGGGACAGACCAGCACCCCAACCAGCCCGGGCCGCGGCACACUGCUAGCACCAAGAGGCACUCGAGGCACAAGGGCACAGCGAGGAACAAUGGAUGGUACUAGACGAAGCCAACCCAGUCCAAGCAGCAGGUGACAAUCGGGGGCACCAUGGACGGGCAGGAGGCCUGAGUCUUAAGAUACACCGGCGCCACUCUCACCCUGGUACAACCCCACAAAGUUCAAGCCCAAGCCCGGACCAACAGGACCGUGGCGGUCCGAAUAGCUGGAGGUGCCAUUCACAAAUUACCCACUGCUCGGGUACACCUUAACUGGGGUACAGGAGCUAAACACUUGGAAGUGGGCAUCAUGCAGGACUUACCGGCCAAAGUGCUUUGGGGGAAUGACCUCGGUUGCCUGACCUCCCAGCUUGCCCAGCCUGAACCAGAGGAGACGUGUCCCGUGACGACUCGGUCUCAAGCCUCCAGGGGGAGCCAGCGUACUC